GAGAGGGAUGGUUAGCUAAGGAGGAAGCAUCGUUUAGCAAGUGGUAUGGUAAUAAUUUUGGUAAGAAGAAGGAGAACGAAGCUAAUGUAGUGUCUAUUGGGAGGCAGGGGAUGCCUCAUGUAAGAAGAAGUCAACCACCCCAUCAACACCAUCAUCAAGUAUCAUCUGUAAUCCUAGUAUUUUCUAACAAUCAGUCAACACCAAUUCAACAACAACAACAUCAACAACCUCCACCACAACGAACAAACACCUACAAAAAC
rnacentral:lncRNA from 1 species